UGCUGGAGGUAUCAGAAGUGCGAAUGCUGACAUAAGUAACGAUAAAGCGGGUGAAAAGCCCCCCUCGCCGGAAGACCAAGGGUUCCUGUCCAACGUUAAUCGGGGCAGGGUGAGUCGACCCCUAAGGCGAGGCCGAAAGGCGUAGUCGAUGGGAAACGGGUUAAUAUUCCCGUACUUGGUGUUACUGCGAAGGGGGGACGGAGAAGGCUAUGUUGGCCGGGCGACGGUUGUCCCGGUUUAAGCGUGUAGGUGUGUGUUCCAGGUAAAUCCGGUUCACUUUAACACUGAGGCGUGACGACGAGGCACUACGGUGCUGAAGCAACAAAUGCCCUGCUUCCAGGAAAAGCCUCUAAGCAUCAGGUAACACGAAAUCGUACCCCAAACCGACACAGGUGGUCAGGGAGAGAAUACCAAGGCGCUUGAGAGAACUCGGGUGAAGGAACUAGGCAAAAUGGUGCCGUAACUUCGGGAGAAGGCACGCUGACACGUAGGUGAAGUGAUUUACUCAUGGAGCUGAAGUCAGUCGAAGAUACCAGCUGGCUGCAACUGUUUAUUAAAAACACAGCACUGUGCAAACACGAAAGUGGACGUAUACGGUGUGACGCCUGCCCGGUGCCGGAAGGUUAAUUGAUGGGGUCAGCGUAAGCGAAGCUCCUGAUCGAAGCCCCGGUAAACGGCGGCCGUAACUAUAACGGUCCUAAGGUAGCGAAAUUCCUUGUCGGGUAAGUUCCGACCUGCACGAAUGGCGUAAUGAUGGCCAGGCUGUCUCCACCCGAGACUCAGUGAAAUUGAACUCGCUGUGAAGAUGCAGUGUACCCGCGGCAAGACGGAAAGACCCCGUGAACCUUUACUAUAGCUUGACACUGAACAUUGAGCCUUGAUGUGUAGGAUAGGUGGGAGGCUUUGAAGUGUGGACGCCAGUCUGCAUGGAGCCGACCUUGAAAUACCACCCUUUAAUGUUUGAUGUUCUAACGUGGACCCGUAAUCCGGGUUGCGGACAGUGUCUGGUGGGUAGUUUGACUGGGGCGGUCUCCUCCAAAAGAGUAACGGAGGAGCACGAAGGUUGGCUAAUCCUGGUCGGACAUCAGGAGGUUAGUGCAAUGGCAUAAGCCAGCUUGACUGCGAGCGUGACGGCGCGAGCAGGUGCGAAAGCAGGUCAUAGUGAUCCGGUGGUUCUGAAUGGAAGGGCCAUCGCUCAACGGAUAAAAGGUACUCCGGGGAUAACAGGCUGAUACCGCCCAAGAGUUCAUAUCGACGGCGGUGUUUGGCACCUCGAUGUCGGCUCAUCACAUCCUGGGGCUGAAGUAGGUCCCAAGGGUAUGGCUGUUCGCCAUUUAAAGUGGUACGCGAGCUGGGUUUAGAACGUCGUGAGACAGUUCGGUCCCUAUCUGCCGUGGGCGCUGGAGAACUGAGGGGGGCUGCUCCUAGUACGAGAGGACCGGAGUGGACGCAUCACUGGUGUUCGGGUUGUCAUGCCAAUGGCACUGCCCGGUAGCUAAAUGCGGAAGAGAUAAGUGCUGAAAGCAUCUAAGCACGAAACUUGCCCCGAGAUGAGUUCUCCCUGAGACUUAGAGUCUCCUGAAGGAACGUUGAAGACGACGACGUUGAUAGGCCGGGUGUGUAAGCGCAGCGAUGCGUUGAGCUAACCGGUACUAAUGAACCGUGAGGCUUAACCUU
rnacentral:rRNA from 1 species